UCUUAUUUCCUUUUCUUCUGCUAGUGAAACCGAGAGAUGAAACUGAGAUUCGAUUUCGGGAGAAUCAAUUGCUAUACUGUGUAGACAAAGAAGGAUUUGAGGUUCCGUGUACCUUGAGGAAGAAGGUGGUGUUAUUUUGAAUUAUGAAGAAGAAAUAAAUGAGAAGAUAUUAGGGUUUCUGAGUUUGAUUCGGAGAUGAGUUCGAAGAUGGAAUUAAGGAUGGGUUUUAGGAACAGGUCAUGAAGAUGAAGUUGGUUGUGUUAAUUGGGUGUUCGAUGCGAAGAAUUGAAGUUAAGAUUUGAGAGUUAGGGUUUGAGGUUUUGAUUAAUGGUUUGAAGACUUGGAAGAUGAAGAACAGAUCUACUGGUAAAUGAAGAUGCGGUGGUUGAAGUUUAAUUGAAGUUAUGAAUUUUUCUUGGAGAUGGGUUUGAGAUGAAUUAGGGUUCAGUUGAGAACUGAUGGAUAUGAUUGGGUUUUGGGUUGAACUGGACUGGUAGAUGGUUGUUGUCUUAAGAUGAAUUGUUGAAUCAAGUCAGGUAUGAAGAAGAGUUCGAUUUCAAUUUGCGUAUCUGAGAUGAAUUACUUUGGGGUAAUCAUUUCUCUGAGUUAAAUUAGUAAGUUGUUCAGUUCAUUGAUGGGUAUUUGCAAUUGAUAAUUUUAUGAGUAUAGAAUGGAUUGUGUUUAAAAUUGGAGAUGAACUGUUCUUGCAGAUGAACUUGAGUUCCAUAAUAGUACAUCUGUAGCUAUUGGUAAGAAUAAAACAGGAAUUGAGUUUUAGAAAUUGUAAUUAUGUUGGCUACACGAAGUUGAAUUGGUUGUGAUGAAUGAGAUGUUAAUGUGGAGUCUUAAAUGGAACUGAUGAGAUGCUACUGGAGUGAGCCAUGAAUGAGCAAUGGUGGUAGUGUUGUUGUGUUCUUAUGGUUGUUUAUAAAGUUGAUAGUGAGAUUGUUUGAAUGGGUAAUUGAAGUGCAGAGUUAUUAUGAGCUGAGAUAUGUUGUGCAAGACUGUUUGAGUUGAAAUGUCUUGGAGUUAGAACUGUAAUUGGUGGUGUAGGCCUGUAACUAUUGGAUACAGAACAAUGGUUGAGUGGGAGUUGCAAGUUAUGGUUGUCCGAUAAGUUGGUCUUGGUGGUUAUGUUGAGUUUGGUAGAUGGAUGUUGGCGGAGCUGUGUUGUCUAUAGUGAACUGGGAAGGGAAAUUGUGUAAGUGAAACAAUUAGAAGUAGUUGCAGGUGGUUGUUGGUUUUAUGAAUGAGUUAUGCUUACUGCUUAAGUUGAUGUCGAAUUUGUUGUUGUGGAUGAAUCUGAAAGAGAUAACAGUUGAAGGGUGAUAUGGUGUUGGAAGAGGAGAGGUUGUAACUGAAGUUGCUGUUGUUGUUUUAUUGAAGUUGCAGCUGCAGUUUAAAUUGUGUGUAGUGGUGCAAGUUCUGUAAUUUGGAUGAUGAAAGAACUGGUAUAAGAAGAAUGAAUUAAUAAAGAUGUAGAUAGUGGUAAUUCAGUUGGAGAAAUUGUCUUGCAGUUUGGGAAGACUAGUGAUUAAGUUAGUUUAGUUGUGAACCUGAAGUUGCAGUUCAUGGAGAAUUGUGAUUAUAGAGUUGUAGAUAGUAAUUGCUAUAAAAAGCUUAAAGCUGCAUUUGCAGUUAGUUUGUAUUAACAACGAUCGAUUCAAAGGAUGAACCAGUGGAUCGUGGAUCUCGAGGUAGGCGUGGCUUGUCAUCAAAAUAGUUUCAGUGAUAGAUCAGAGUUGCGCAGCAAAAGCUUCACGGGUUGAGUUCGCUAGUUGAUUAACUUCUGCUAUGUUUAUUAUGUUACAUAUUGUGUCUGUAAACCAAAUGAAUAUUGUAUAUGUAUCAUUUGAUAGGACUUCUUGUAUAUAUAUGUUCCAGAGCGCGUUAGUUUUGGGUUAAGUUUUGUAUCAAUUUCUUAAUUGAAUGCUUAAGUAUAUGUUUUAGAUU